CAGCCGCCGCGGUAAUUCGUAGGGUGCAAGCGUUAAUCGGAAUUACUGGGCGUAAAGCGUGCGUAGGCGGUUUGUUAAGUCUGCUGUGAAAUCCCCGGGCUCAACCUGGGAAUGGCAGUGGAUACUGGCAAGCUAGAGCGUGUCAGAGGAUGGUGGAAUUCCCGGUGUAGCGGUGAAAUGCGUAGAGAUCGGGAGGAGCAUCAGUGGCGAAGGCGGCCAUCUGGGACAACACUGACGCUGAGGCACGAAAGCGUGGGGAGCAAACAGGAUUAGAUACCCCGGUAGUCCCUGUCUCUUAUAC
rnacentral:rRNA from 1 species